CCUACGGGCGGCAGCAGUGAGGAAUAUUGGUCAAUGGGCGGGAGCCUAAACCAGCCAAGUCGCGUGAGGGAAGACGGUCCUAUGGAUUGUAAACCUCUUUAGGCGGGGAGCAAUGCCGGGCACGUGUGCCCGGAGGGAGAGUACCCGCAGAAUAAGCAUCGGCUAACUCCGUGCCAGCAGCCGCGGUAAUACGGGGGCUGCGAGCGUUAUCCGGAUUGAUUGGGUUUAAAGGGUGCGUAGGCGGAUUUUUAAGUCAGCGGUAAAAUGUCCGGGCUCAACCCGGGCCGGCCGUUGAAACUGGGGAUCUUGAGUGGGCGAGAAGUAUGCGGAAUGCGGGGUGUAGCGGUGAAAUGCAUAGAUAUCACGCAGAACUCCGAUUGCGAAGGCAGCAUACCGGCGCCCGACUGACGCUGAGGCACGAAAGCGUGGGGAUCGAACAGGAUUAGAUACCCCUGUAGUC
rnacentral:rRNA from 1 species